rnacentral:rRNA from 1 species
UAGCAGUGGGGAAUUUUGGACAAUGGGCGAAAGCCUGAUCCAGCAAUGCCGCGUGUGUGAUGAAGGCCUUAGGGUUGUAAAGCUCUUUUACCAGGGAUGAUAAUGACAGUACCUGGAGAAUAAGCUCCGGCUAACUCCGUGCCAGCAGCCGCGGUAAUACGGAGGGAGCUAGCGUUGUUCGGAAUUACUGGGCGUAAAGCGCACGUAGGCGGUUACUCAAGUCAGAGGUGAAAGCCCGGGGCUCAACCCCGGAACUGCCUUUGAAACUAGGUAACUAGAAUCCUGGAGAGGUGAGUGGAAUUCCGAGUGUAGAGGUGAAAUUCGUAGAUAUUCGGAAGAACACCAGUGGCGAAGGCGGCUCACUGGACAGGUAUUGACGCUGAGGUGCGAAAGCGUGGGGAGUAAACAGGAUUAGAUACCCUGGUAGUCCACGCCGUARACGAUGAUAACUAGCUGUCCGGGUKCAUGGAAUUGGGGUGGCGCAGCUAACGCAUUAAGUUAUC